rnacentral:rRNA from 1 species
GACCUCAAAUCAGGUAGGACUACCCGCUGAACUUAAGCAUAUCAAUAAGCGGAGGAAAAGAAACUAACAAGGAUUCCCCUAGUAACUGCGAGUGAAGCGGGAAAAGCUCAAAUUUAAAAUCUGAUAGUCUUCGGCUAUCCGAGUUGUAAUCUAGAGAAGUGUUAUCCGCGUUGGACCGUGUACAAGUCUCCUGGAACGGAGCGUCAUAGAGGGUGAGAAUCCCGUCUCUGACACGGACUACCAGGGCUUUGUGAUGCGCUCUCAAAGAGUCGAGUUGUUUGGGAAUGCAGCUCUAAAUGGGUGGUAAAUUCCAUCUAAAGCUAAAUAUUGGCGAGAGACCGAUAGCGAACAAGUACCGUGAGGGAAAGAUGAAAAGAACUUUGGAAAGAGAGUUAAACAGUACGUGAAAUUGUUGAAAGGGAAACGC